rnacentral:rRNA from 1 species
GUGCCAGCAGCCGCGGUAAUACAGAGGGUGCAAGCGUUAAUCGGAAUUACUGGGCGUAAAGCGCGCGUAGGUGGUUAGUUAAGUUGGAUGUGAAAUCCCCGGGCUCAACCUGGGAACUGCAUUCAAAACUGACUGACUAGAGUAUGGUAGAGGGUGGUGGAAUUUCCUGUGUAGCGGUGAAAUGCGUAGAUAUAGGAAGGAACACCAGUGGCGAAGGCGACCACCUGGACUGAUACUGACACUGAGGUGCGAAAGCGUGGGGAGCAAACAGGAUUAGAAACCCCUGUAGUCC